UUUUGUAGACCUUUGAGGAUGCAAAUCCUACAAGUUGCACUUUAAAGAUCUUCUGCUUGGCGUCACAGCCCCAUCCGUGCCAUCUGGAGGAGCGGAGCAGCCCCGAGCUGGCUGAUGGAGACAAGCUGAAACCAGACGUAUAUCUGUGGAGAUCUAUUCUUCUGAAGCACGGACAGAUUUCCUGAGCGCCACCAUUCCAAAGGCAGGCACAGGGAUGCAGCACCAGGCACCAAAGCAUUGUCCAGCCCAUCAGCACAAAGUGACAUGAGAGGGUGUCUGGACUAAAGUAUAGGCAAGAGAAGCUAAACUAAGCCCUACUAAGCAGAGCAACGUCCCAGUCCUGCAAGAAGCUGGUGCUGAAGUGCAAAAGGGUCUGCAAAAACUGAAGCCAAGGACCACAUGAUCUGCCAUCUUCCAAAUCAUUCUGGCAAAACGAACAUAGAAGGAUAUCCUGUGAAUAUCACUCCAGCAUGUCAAACACAGCAAUUAGUCCUUGUUCUGGGAAAUGGCAAGCUCAUGCGUGAUGCUGAGGCUCAGCUAUGGUGUGAGGUCUAGCUCUCUUAAGAUGGGGAAGCGUGUUCCUGU
rnacentral:lncRNA from 1 species